GAUGAACGCUGGCUACAGGCUUAACACAUGCAAGUCGAGGGGAAACGCCGGGGAAGCUUGCUUCCCCGGGCGUCGACCGGCGCACGGGUGAGUAACGCGUAUCCAACCUGCCUCUGACUGAGGGAUAACCCGUCGAAAGUCGGCCUAAUACCUCAUGGCAUCGUCUGCGGGCAUCCAACGACGAUUAAAGAUUUCAUCGGUCAGAGAUGGGUAUGCGUCUGAUUAGCUUGUUGGCGGGGUAACGGCCCACCAAGGCGACGAUCAGUAGGGGUUAUGAGAGUAAGCUCCCCCAGAGUGGAACUGAGACACGGUCCAAACACCUACGGGAGGGAGCAGUAAGGAAGAUUGGUCAACGGACGAGGGCCUGAACCAGCCAAGUAGCGUGCAGGAGGCCGGCCCUAUGGAUUGUAAACUGCUUUUAUGCAGGGGUAAAGUGAGGGACGUGUCCUUCAUUGCAGGUACCGAAUGAAUAAGGACCGGCUAAUUCCGUG
rnacentral:rRNA from 1 species